rfam:Triticum aestivum genome assembly, contig: Triticum_aestivum_CS42_TGACv1_scaffold_514685_6BS
UUACUACUCCCUCCGUCCGGAAAUACUUGUCGGAGGAAUGGACGUAUUUCAGUGUUAGAUGCAUCCGUUUUUAGUCAUUUCUACGACGAGUAUUUCCGGACGGAGGGAGUACUAA